rnacentral:lncRNA from 1 species
AAAAAAAAACCCUUAAUUAGAUGCACCUAUAAAACUAUUUUGACACUCUCUGCAUGAACUCCUACCACCACUUAUUAUAAACUAGUCACAAAAUUGAAAAGCAUGAUGUUCACUACUUCUUUGUAACAAUCAUUGUUCAGAGUAUGUUCUGUUCAGCUGAGGAGAGUAGCACAAACCAUUAAUUCAAACUCAACCUCCUAAAAUGCCUUACUUUUGGAACUCAACAGGU